GUGCCAGCCGCCGCGGUAAUACGAAGGGGGCUAGCGUUGUUCGGAUUUACUGGGCGUAAAGGGCGCGUAGGCGGAUUUUUAAGUCAGGGGUGAAAUCCCAGGGCUCAACCCUGGAACGGCCUUUGAUACUGGAAAUCUGGAGUUCGGGAGAGGUGAGUGGAAUUCCGAGUGUAGAGGUGAAAUUCGUAGAUAUUCGGAGGAACACCAGAAGCGAAGGCGGCUCACUGGCCCGAUACUGACGCUGAGGCGCGAAAGCGUGGGGAGCAAACAGGAUUAGAAACCCGUGUAGUCC
rnacentral:rRNA from 1 species